GACGAACGCUGGCGGCGCGCUUAACACAUGCAAGUCGAACGGAAAGGCCUGCUUUCCCUUGUGGAUUGCGGGUACUCGAGUGGCGAACGGGUGAGUAACACGUGAGUGAUCUGCCCCCAACUUGGGUAUAAGCCUGGGAAACUGGGUCUAAUUCCCGAUAGGACUGCAGGGUGGUGCCUGUGGUGGAAAACGAUUUUCUAGUGGUUGGGGAUGAGCUCGCGGCCUAUCAGCUUGUUGGUGGGGUAAUGGCCUACCAAGGCGGCGACGGGUAGCCGGCCUGGGAGGGUGGACGGCCACAUUGGGACUGAGAGACAGCCCAGACUCCUACGGGAGGCAGCAGUGGGGAAUAUUGCACAAUGGGCGGAAGCCUGAUGCAGCGACGCCGCGUGGGGGAUGACGGCCUUCGGGUUGUAAACUCCUUUCGACCGCGAGGAAGCCACCUGGUUGGAAGGGUGGUGACGGUAGUGGUAGAAGAAGCACCGGCUAACUACGUG
rnacentral:rRNA from 1 species